UACAGAGGUCCCAAGCGUUGUUCGGAUUCACUGGGCGUAAAGGGUGCGUAGGUGGUGGGGUAAGUCGGGUGUGAAAUCUCGGAGCUUAACUCCGAAACUGCAUUCGAUACUGCCGUGCUUGAGGACUGGAGAGGAGACUGGAAUUUACGGUGUAGCGGUGAAAUGCGUAGAUAUCGUAAGGAAGACCAGUGGCGAAGGCGGGUCUCUGGACAGUUCCUGACGCUGAGGCACGAAGGUCAGGGGAGCAAACGGG
rnacentral:rRNA from 1 species